rnacentral:sRNA from 1 species
GUCUGCCUUCUACACCUUUCGCUACCCACUGAGUCUCAGCCCAGAUGACCGCAGGGGCGUUCAACACCUAUAUGGCCAGCCCUGGCCCACUGUCACCUCCAGGACCCCAGCCCUGGGCCCCCAGGCUGGGAUAGACACCAAUGAGAUUGCACCGCUGGAGGUGAGGCCCUGCCUGCCAGUCCCCCUACUCCUCUGCUGGCCACUGUGACUGCAGCAUAUGCCCUCAGCAUGUGUCCCUCUCUCCCACCACAGCCAGACGCCCCGCCAGAUGCCUGUGAGGCCUCCUUUGACGCGGUCUCCACCAUCCGAGGCGAGCUCUUUUUCUUCAAAGCGGGCUUUGUGUGGCGCCUGCGUGGGGGCCAGCUGCAGCCUGGCUACCCAGCAUUGGCCUCUCGCCACUGGCAGGGACUGCCCAGCCCUGUGGACGCUGCCUUCGAGGAUGCCCAGGGCCACAUUUGGUUCUUCCAAGGUGCUCAGUACUGGGUGUACGACGGUGAAAAGCCAGUCCUGGGCCCCGCACCCCUCACCGAGCUGGGCCUGGUGAGGUUCCCGGUCCAUG